ACAGCUCAUUGCUUUCUCUUUUGCGCCUUAUGGCUUCUCUCAUUCAUUAAUGAAAUUGUGUUAAUCCUAAUACAAGUUAAAAUACUUUCUUAUUUAGUCAUUACUUUCUUAUAUCUUUCUUUUUUCUCCUGUUAAGUAAACUACUUUCUUAUAUCUUAAAACCCCUUCACAUGCUAUUUAAUAUGACCUUCAUCCUAGUAUUACUAUAUGAUUUUUUUUUCUUGAUCAUUAUCUUAAACAUAUCAUUUAAAAAGAUUACAUUCAUUGCAUAUUCAACCUUUUUUUAGUGACAGCAAAACUUGCCAAAUUUUGAUUUAAAUUAUAGGCAAUAUUAUAAAUAAGGCUUCUUGAAAACAACACGAUACUCAUUUUUUAUUUUAUCCAUUUAUAUGUGCGAUCAUUUCCUGUAGCUUGACUUUUGAGGCUUCUUCAAAUCUCUCCACUUUUGGAGAGAUUCAAAGAGUAGGUUAUAAGGGAUUAUCUUUUCUUUUCUCUCCAAAUCAUCCCAUACAAAUAGACUGUUAUUAGUACUACAAAGCUUGUUGCCUUAAAAAGACUUGGUUGAUUUUUCUGGUUAGGGAGAAUCAUAUGUGAAAUUCAUUCAAUGAUUCGGCACUUCAUAGCAUCUAUUUGAAAACUCUGACAACAAAACCCUAUAUUUAACACUUGCACACUAAGCACACUCUUAAGGGGCUAAUAUGCCGAUUAAAUUGGGGUUGUUUCUGUAAUUGGAUUCUAGUUAUGAUAAUGGACUGCAAAGGCUGCCCAUGAAUUCCUGCUAGAGCCUGGAGGAGAUCAACCACUGGACCCUCCACUCCAGCUAAAAGUUAUUGCAAUGACCCCAAGAUAUUGAAAAUUGUUACAACAUAUUUUUAAGCCCACAAAAGCAUGAGGCCUCUCACAAAAAUUAUGCAUAUAGACUAAUCUUGGGCAAUAUCAAUUUUGUUGAAUACCUAAUAAUAUGUAUAUAUAAAUCAUCUUGUUUGCUGUUGCUUUCAAGGUUUGUGCUUGACCAUCAUGUCUGAAGCCAAUUGAAUCUUUAACUAAGGGGAAGCAGCAAAUAAUUCAAGAAGGGGAGCCCCAUGUCAAACAAUCAGUUGAAUUCCUCACUACAGCUGAGUCAAUUAAUGGCAUAUGUACUUCUGGUUCCUUGUCAUUUGAUAGCGACUCACAAGAAAAAGUUUUUACUUGCGAAAAGGAGAGAACUAAUUCUGAAGAUGUGAGAGAGGACAUUGAAAUGGUAGAUUUUGAGUCAAGUUCAUCUGUUCCACAGGAUAUUGAAGUACAUGGCAAUGGAUAUUCUCAUGCGAUUGAAGAAACCGCUUCUCCUGUUGUACAUGCUAAUAGAUUAGUCUUUGCGGUUGGUUCUUCUCUAAGUGAGAUGGUUAAGCCUGAAGCUUAUUCUCAGAAUUCUGAAUCAGACUUUCCUCAUUCUGUUGUUGAUGAGAAUACAGCUGAGAGAAGUAGUGCCAAAAGGUUGACUGAAUCUUCAAGUGAAAGCGCUCAGCCAAUACAGAAUGGUGUCUGUGAGGAGGGAAAAAUUUCUCAUGAUGCUCCUGUUGGUAAUUUAAGCUCAGGUGAACUUCUUGAUGAGAUUAGUCCUGUUGAUUGCAACGGUGAGCAGGCAAAAAUGGAGACUGGAAAGGGCUUGCCAUCAUCUAGCAGUACUAAGGAUGCCACAGGGAAGUUGGCUAGAAGAAAUUCUUCUGAAGGAAAGUUGAAGCCUCUGUUUCCUCCAGGUUUUCUCAGAAAGCAUUCUGGCAACAAUUCUCCAAAGAGAGAUGGGAAAGCAAAAGCUCCUUCAGAACUAGUUGAAUGUGCAUCUUCUUACAAUCCUAAUAAAGGCGUAUUAGUGGAUUUGCAAAACCUGGUUUUCUUAAUCAAAAUGGUGUGAGGACAAAAGAUGUGGGAAAGUCUCAUUCUAAGUGCAGUAAUUCUUCGUCUCCUACUUUUGAGGAACGAGUUGGGAAUCACUUGGACAAGGGCGUUAUGGUGCUUAGUGGAUCUGGUGAUUUUAAUCACUGCAAUGGAGAUUCUGGUGCUUUUGUUAUUUCUAAUAAGGGCAUUAGCUAUAUUAGUGGGGAUGACCAACAAUUGGCAGGGAAAACCUCGAGCUACAAGGAGGAGCUCCGUGAGAGUGAAACUACACCCGAAAAGAUUAGAACAGAUUCUGAAAGACCAAUGGAAAGUGACUUGUAAUCUCAGUGAAGAUGACUCAACAACUCAAAUUUUGUUUGAAGCAUCUACGCUAUCAAUGGAUUUGCAUUUGAGACUUAAAUCUUGCAAAAUAAAAUUUGACAGUCCUUGACCAAAAGGCAAAGUAACGCAAAACUGAUGGUAGUAGUCCCCAUACCCAAUGAAAUUGUUGUUGAUACGUAAAUGAGGUUAGUGGCAAGGAAGGGGCAGAUUGUUUUAGUGCUUAGAUUGGAUGGUUCAGGUAGCGAUUUUCUUAAGAUUCUGGAGAUGGAAAUGGAAGAGCUAGAAUAAUGGACAAUGAUGAUGGUUCAUGGUAAUAGUUUUAAGGAGAGAGUAUUGCGGCGGC